rnacentral:rRNA from 1 species
UACGGGGGGGGCAAGCGUUGUUCGGAAUUACUGGGCGUAAAGGGCUCGUAGGUGGCCAACUAAGUCAGACGUGAAAUCCCUCGGCUUAACCGGGGAACUGCGUCUGAUACUGGAUGGCUUGAGUUUGGGAGAGGGAUGCGGAAUUCCAGGUGUAGCGGUGAAAUGCGUAGAUAUCUGGAGGAACACCGGUGGCGAAGGCGGCUCACUGGACCGGAACUGACGCUGAGGCGCGAAAGCGUGGGGAGCAAACGGG